UACGUAGGGUGCGAGCGUUGUCCGGAAUUAUUGGGCGUAAAGGGCUCGUAGGCGGUCUGUCACGUCGGGAGUGAAAACUCGGGGCUUAACUCCGAGCCUGCUUCUGAUACGGGCAGACUAGAGGUAUGCAGGGGAGAAUGGAAUUCCUGGUGUAGCGGUGAAAUGCGCAGAUAUCAGGAGGAACACCGAUGGCGAAGGCAGGUCUCUGGGCCACUACUGACGCUGAGAAGCGAAAGCAUGGGGAGCGAACAGG
rnacentral:rRNA from 1 species